rnacentral:rRNA from 1 species
UUUCUGCCAAGGCUGGCCGGUCCGCCCUUUGGGUGAGUAUCUGGUUUGGCUGGAGCAUAUUCUUGGAGGGUAUGGCUGCACUUGAUUGUGUGGUGUGCAACCCAAGACUUUUACUUUGAGGAAAUUAGAGUGUUUCAAGCAGGCUCAUGCCUUGAAUACAUUAGCAUGGAAUAAUAGCAUAAGGCCUUGGCUGUAUUUUGUUGGUUUCUACAGCUAAGGUAAUGAUGAACAGGGAUACUUGGGGGCAUACGAAUUUAAUU